rnacentral:lncRNA from 1 species
GCCAUCUUGGCUCCGUGAGGCUCUGAGGUGCCGGGGUGCGGCGGCGGCAGCGGCGGCCAGCAGGGCGGAGGCUGAGGCAGCAAGCUCGCUAGAGAGGGAGAAGCAGUCGGGCGCAGGCGCCUCCUCCGCAGCCCGCUCCAUGGUCGGCGCCCACAGCCCGCGGCGGCCUGUCUUGCGCUCCACUUCCUUCACAUCCUCCUCCGCCUCCUCGUUUUCAGGCGCCGCCGGCGGCGCUGUGUGGAGGCCCGCGAGCUGAAAUUCGCGGUGCGACGGGAGGGAGUGGAGAAGGAGGUGAGGGGGCCCAGGAUCGCGGGGCGCCCUGAGGCAAGGGGACGCCGGCGGGCCGAAGCGCAGCCCGCCGCCCGCAGGCUCGGCUCCGCCACUGCCGCCCUCCCGGUCUCCUCGCCUCGGCCGCCGAGGCAGGGAGAGAAUGAGCCCCGGGACCCGCCGGGGGACGGCCCGGGCCAGGCCCGGGAUCUAGACGGCCGUAGGGGGAAGGGAGCCGCCCUCCCCACGGCGCCUUUUCGGAACUGCCGUGGACUCGAGGACGCUGGUCGCCGGCCUCCUAGGGCUGUGCUGUUUUGUUUUGACCCUCGCAUUGUGCAGAAUUAAAGUGCAGUAAAAUGUCCACUAGGACCCCAUUGCCAACGGUGAAUGAACGAGACACUGAAAACCACACGUCACAUGGAGAUGGGCGUCAAGAAGUUACCUCUCGUACCAGCCGCUCAGGAGCUCGGUGUAGAAACUCUAUAGCCUCCUGUGCAGAUGAACAACCUCACAUCGGAAACUACAGACUGUUGAAAACAAUCGGCAAGGGGAAUUUUGCAAAAGUAAAAUUGGCAAGACAUAUCCUUACAGGCAGAGAGGUUGCAAUAAAAAUAAUUGACAAAACUCAGUUGAAUCCAACAAGUCUACAAAAGCUCUUCAGAGAAGUAAGAAUAAUGAAGAUUUUAAAUCAUCCCAAUAUAGUGAAGUUAUUCGAAGUCAUUGAAACUGAAAAAACACUCUACCUAAUCAUGGAAUAUGCAAGUGGAGGUGAAGUAUUUGACUAUUUG